UACAGAGGGGGCCAGCGUUAUUCGGAAUUAUUGGGCGUAAAGGGCGCGUAGGCGGCCAUGCGUGUCUUCCGUGAAAUCCCUCGGCUUAACCGAGGACGUGCGGAAGAAACUGCAAGGCUCGAGUCCGGAAGAGGGGGGCGGAAUUCCCAGUGUAGCGGUGAAAUGCGUAGAUAUUGGGAGGAACACCAGUGGCGAAGGCGGUCCCCUGGGCCGGAACUGACGCUGAGGCGCGAAAGCGUGGGUAGCAAACGGGG
rnacentral:rRNA from 1 species